AGUACAUCAUUAGCUGGUUACCAUCGGGGUAACGCAGGAUCAUACAUAUACAGAUAUACUAGAAACAAUACAUAUACAGAUAUACUAGAAACAAUACAUAUACAGAUAUACUAGAAACAAUACAUAUACAGAUAUACUAGAAACAAUACAUAUACAGAUAUACUAGAAAUAAUACAUAUACAGAUAUACUAGAAACAAUACAUAUACAGAUAUACUAGAAACAAUACAUAUACAGAUAUACUAGAAACAAUACAUAUACAGAUAUACUAGAAACAAUACAUAUACAGAUAUACUAGAAACAAUACAUAUACAGAUAUACUAGAAACAAUACAUAUACAGAUAUACUAGAAACAAUACAUAUACAGAUAUACUAGAAACAAUACAUAUACAGAUAUACUAGAAACAAUACAUAUACAGAUAUACUAGAAACAAUACAUAUACAGAUAUACUAGAAACAAUACAUAUACAGAUAUACGAGAAACAAUACAUAUACAGAUAUACGAGAAACAAUACAUAUACAUAAAUACGUAAUAAUUGUGAUCCACUGUAUCGGGCAUGCCUUAAAUGUCAUGGCCCGAGUUGUAGCCAGAAUUCUCUUGGAGGGAGAGCGUGAGUUUGCGUAUAGAUCUAUACUGGAUUGACUAUCCUACACCUUGCUGCUAGCUACAGCCGGACCUGCAGGUCUGCGGGUGCCAAACGUCAUUUCUUUUAUUACGACCAUUCAUUAUGUCGUUGUUACCAGUCGAUAGCAUGGUGCAAUUUAUCACAUUAUGCCUUAAUAUAAAUCCGGUUUAAGGUAGUAGUAUUUAGUACAGCAGUAGUCUUAAUAUACAAAGCUACAGUACUACAAUGAUUUACCCAUUACAUAUUUUAGUGAUAAUCUCACUUAAGCAUUAAUGUACAAACUAUAUUUUAACAAAUGAUAGUUAUAUUUGGGUAAUCACACACUUUACAACAGAAAAGUUUACAAAAUAGUUUAGCCUUGGUAGAAGGUUACUUUUUAUAGAAAAUAUAGGAUUUUCUGAGAGAUUCAGA
rnacentral:lncRNA from 1 species